AGAGUGAACGCUGGCGGUAGGCCUAACACAUGCAAGUCGAACGGCAGCACAGUGGUAGCAAUACCAUGGGUGGCGAGUGGCGGACGGGUGAGGAAUACAUCGGAAUCUACCUUUUCGUGGGGGAUAACGUAGGGAAACUUACGCUAAUACCGCAUACGCCCUUCGGGGGAAAGCCGGGGAUCGCAAGACCUGGCGCGGAUAGAUGAGCCGAUGUAGGAUUAGCUAGUUGGUGAGGUAAUGGCUCACAAGGCGACGAUCCGUAGCUGGUCUGAGAGGAUGAUCACGCCCCAUGGAACUGAGACCACGGUCCAGACCUCCGUAGGGAGCAGCGAGGUGGGAAUGUGAACAG
rnacentral:rRNA from 1 species